rnacentral:rRNA from 1 species
AGAGUUUGAUCCUGGCUCAGGAUGAACGCUAGNNNNNGUAAUACAUGCAAGUCGAGGGGCAGCAGGACGGUAGCAAUACCGUUGCUGGCGACCGGCAAACGGGUGCGGAACACGUACGCAACUUACCCUGAACUGGGGGAUAGCCCGGGGAAACCCGGAUUAAUACCCCGUAACACCACGAGGUGGCAUCACUUUGUGGUUAUAGCUCCGGUGGUUCAGGAUGGGCGUGCGGCUGAUUAGGUAGUUGGUUGGGGUAACGGCCCACCAAGCCUGCGAUCAGUAACUGGUGUGAGAGCACGACCAGUCACACGGGCACUGAGACACGGGCCCGACUCCUACGGGAGGCAGCAGUAAGGAAUAUUGGGCAAUGGAGGCAACUCUGACCCAGCCAUGCCGCGUGGAGGAUGAAGGCCCUCUGGGUUGUAAACUUCUUUUACCUGGGACGAAACCUUCUCAUUCUUGGGGAGUUGACGGUACCAGGGGAAUAAGCACCGGCUAACUCCGUGCCAGCAGCCGCGGUAAUACGGAGGGUGCAAGCGUUAUCCGGAUUCACUGGGUUUAAAGGGUGCGUAGGCGGGCAGGUAAGUCCGUGGUGAAAUCUCCGAGCUUAACUCGGAACUGCCGUGGAUACUAUUUGUCUUGAAUACUGUGGAGGUGAGCGGAAUAUGUCAUGUAGCGGUGAAAUGCUUAGAUAUGACAUAGAACACCAAUUGCGAAGGCAGCUCACUGCGCAGUCAUUGACGCUGAGGCACGAAAGCGUGGGGAUCAAACAGGAUUAGAUACCCUAGUAGUCC